rnacentral:rRNA from 1 species
AAAUUGAAGAGUUUGAUCAUGGCUCAGAUUGAACGCUGGCGGCAGGCCUAACACAUGCAAGUCGAACGGUAACAGAAAGCAGCUUGCUGCUUUGCUGACGAGUGGCGGACGGGUGAGUAAUGUCUGGGAAACUGCCUGAUGGAGGGGGAUAACUACUGGAAACGGUAGCUAAUACCGCAUAACGUCGCAAGACCAAAGAGGGGGACCUUCGG